CCUGAGUGUUCUUUCAGUUUAGAUGAAAACAGAAUGUUUGCAGGGGGAAAUUCUUUAGAACAGUGAUUGCUGUUGGAUGAGAUCUAGCAAGGUGAUAUUUUUUUUUCUGAACUAUUUUGUAGAAAAGAAAAGUAAGAGAGAGAGAGAGAGAGAAGGGUUUUUCUCAAAUUUGCACAUGGGUGUUUCCUACCAUUGCUUGUAAGAUAAACAGUGCUGCUUAGUGAGGAAGACUGUUAGUGCACGGUGAUAAGAACUACAGAACAGAGACGUGUGCGGUGCUGCGGCAUUAACCACGGACGUCAAAUGGUCUUCCGUUCACGACAAAUCCAAAGAUGCGCAUAGCUGAGAUAGAACCAGAUGACAUUACUUGUUUAACUACUGAAGACUCAAAAGAAAAUGAUCAAGAAAAUCGGAUCAAAAAUAAAAUAUAUGAAAACAUGUAUCUACGAAAAUUGUAUAUUGAGAAAGAAUCAAGCAAUGGUGACUCAAAGAACACAGACAUUGACUAUUCAGAAAAUAAGUGUGAAACUGAAUAACAUUGUCACAAAUAACCACUUUAGCUACUAAAAAACACCCACAAGAAGUUAAUAAGUUGAAAAGUGAACGGCAUAACAUGGGGAAAUAAUAAGGAUGUUUGUGGCCUUUUUGUCAGUCCCAGGUCACUGCAGGUGUUACCUGCAAAAGUCCUUUCUUGGAGCUUCUGAGGAAAUCUAGCCACGGAGCCCUGAAGGAGUGUUGGCUGAGGUUCGUGGCUUUGCGGGCCAAAGAGUGACCAGCUCCGUUCGUAAUGGAUAAGAAAAGCUGGGAGUGAUGUUUAUCCGGAACUGUAGACUUGGAUCCGUGUUUUGGUAGUCUAGACAGAAAUUUAAUGAAGAGAAAUUGAGAACUGAGAAAAUUAUAAAAGGCCUGCGGUGAACGCUCCAUAUGUUCCGUGCAGACUUCCAAAAAUACACACGUGUGAGGAUAACUGCAGAACGCCAGUGAAAUGUGAAAGCCAAGAAGACUUUUACGUUGUCUGAAGCUCACAGUUUUCUUCCGGCCCACGGGCGGAUUGGCAGGGAAUAAACGGUCACAGUGCGAACACGCGCUGUCACAAAUGUUGACCAAAACCACCGCACGAACAACACUUUGAUCCCUAAGCAAGUAGGAUGCAAGGAAAAGAAAUGUAGGAGAACACUAACCUGAACCGCCAGAAACUGAAUGCUGUGAAUGGGAAGAGGCUUCUUUUAUUAAAUACAGCACUGGUAAACUGGCAAAAUAAGUCAGUAUAUCAGAAAGUAAAUACAUAAUUAAAAAAAUAAACAAAUGAAUAAAGAAAAUUGACAGUUCCCAGAGAAAUAAAAUGAAAUGUAGCGCUACAGUGCCACAACAUCUUACCUGCCCAGGUUUCAAGCAAAACUGACAAGAUAUCCAUAGGAAAAUAAAGCAUAGCCCAUACACAGAAAAACAAUUCUUUUUUUUUUUUUUUUUUUGGUUUUUCUCCGGUACCGGAACCGAACUCACUACCUUGCGCUUGCCAGGCAAGCGCUUUUGCCGCUGAGCUAAAUCCCCAGUCC
ensembl:lincRNA